rnacentral:rRNA from 1 species
CCAAUAGCGUAUAUUAAAGUUGUUGCAGUUAAAAAGCUCGUAGUUGAAUUUCGGGAUCAAUAUGUUGGUCGUGCCUUGGUACGUACUAUCUUAUUGGUUUCUCCCUUCUGACGAACCAUGAUGUCAUUAAUUUGAUGUCAUGGGGAAUCAGGACUGUUACUUUGAAAAAAUUAGAGUGUUUAAAGCAGGCUCACGCUUGAAUAUAUUAGCAUGGAAUAAUGAAAUAGGACGUUUGAUUCUAUUUUGUUGGUUUCUAGGAUCGACGUAAUGAUUAAUAGGGAUAGUUGGGGGCAUUAGUAUUCAAUUGUCAGAGGUGAAAUUCUUGGAUUUAUUGAAGACUAACUACUGCGAAAGCAUUUGCCAAGGAUGUUUUCAUUAAUCAAGAACGAAAGUUAGGGGAUCGAAGACGAUCAGAUACCGUCGUAGUCUUAACCAUAAACUAUGCCGACUAGGGAUCGGAUGAUGUUAAUUUUUUAAUGACUCAUUCGGCGCCUUACG